rnacentral:rRNA from 1 species
CCUACGGGGGGCUGCAGUGGGGAAUAUUGCACAAUGGGGGAAACCCUGAUGCAGCGACGCCGCGUGAGUGAAGAAGUAAUUCGUUAUGUAAAGCUCUAUCAGCAGGGAAGAAAAUGACGGUACCUGAGUAAGAAGCCCCGGCUAACUACGUGCCAGCAGCCGCGGUAAUACGUAGGGGGCAAGCGUUAUCCGGAUUUACUGGGUGGAAAGGGAGCGUAGACGGCAGUGCAAGUCUGGAGGGAAAGGCGGGGGCUCAACCCCCGGACUGCUCUGGAAACUGUACGGCUGGAGUGCAGGAGAGGUAAGUGGAAUUCCUAGUGUAGCGGUGAAAUGCGUAGAUAUUAGGAGGAACACCAGUGGCGAAGGCGGCUUACUGGACUGUAACUGACGUUGAGGCUCGAAAGCGUGGGGAGCAAACAGGAUUAGAUACCCGUGUAGUC